rnacentral:lncRNA from 1 species
AACCAACAGAUGUCCGAUAUGCCGGCAGCCCAUUGAGCGCCUUUUGGAGAUCAAGGUGAGCAAUGGGAGUGAUGAAUGAACAAAUCCACCUUUCACUGCUUCAUGAAAAUCUUAUAUCUAUAUAUUAUAUAUAUAUAUACACUAAAUAUUCAGUUUGUUCAGUUGGAUGCCAUCAUGAUUUUAGUCAUUCUCAUUUUGUAAAUUCGAUGCGACUUCUAAAAUAUUUCUUGGAUAAACCUCCAUCUUUUGAUGUGUAACAAAUUCAGCAUGCUCGAUUUCUUGCC